UACGUAGGGUGCAAGCGUUGUCCGGAAUUAUUGGGCGUAAAGAGCUUGUAGGCGGUUUGUCGCGUCUGCUGUGAAAUUUCGGGGCUCAACCCCGAACUUGCAGUGGGUACGGGCAGACUAGAGUGUGGUAGGGGAGACUGGAAUUCCUGGUGUAGCGGUGAAAUGCGCAGAUAUCAGGAAGAACACCAGCGGCGAAGGCGGCACUCUGGGCCGGAACUGACGCUGAGGAGCGAAAGCGUGGGUAGCAAACAGG
rnacentral:rRNA from 1 species